AUUCAACGCUGGCGGCGUGCCUAACACAUGCAAGUCGAACGCGAAAGCCCUUUCGGGGGUCAGUAGAGUGGCGUCCGGGUGAGUAACACGUAGGUAAUCUACCUCUGGGUGGGGAAUAACUCGUCGAAAGGCGAGCUAAUACCGCAUAAUGCAGCGGCACCGAAUGGUGAUUAGUUGUUAAAGCGGGGACCGAAAGCCUCGCGCCUAGAGAGGAGCCUGCGGCAGAUUAGCUUGNGGUUGAGGUAAUGGCUCACCAAGGCUUCGAUCUGUAGCUGGUCUGAGAGGACGGCCAGCCACACUGGCACUGACACACGGGCCAGACUCCUACGGGAGGCAGCAGUGGGGAAUUUUGGGCAAUGGGCGAAAGCCUGACCCAGCAACGCCGCGUGAGUGAUGAAGGCCUUCGGUUGUAAAG
rnacentral:rRNA from 1 species